GUAUAGUUGAGUCUGUACUGUGAGAGUUUCCUGUCAACAGUAUAGUUGAGUCUGUACUGUGAGAGUUUCCUGUCAACAGUAUAGUUGAGUCUGUACUGUGAGAGUUUCCUGUCAACAGUAUAGUUGAGUCUGUACUGUGAGAGGGUCCUGUCAACAGUAUAGUUGAGUCUGUACUGUGAGAGUUUCCUGUCAACAGUAUAGUUGAGUCUGUACUGUGAGAGUUUCCUGUCAACAGUAUAGUUGAGUCUGUACUGUGAGAGUUUCCUGUCAACAGUAUAGUUGAGUCUGUACUGUGAGAGUUUCCUGUCAACAGUAUAGUUGAGUCUGUACUGUGAGAGUUUCCUGUCAACAGUAUAGUUGAGUCUGUACUGUGAGAGUUUCCUGUCAACAGUAUAGGUGAGUCUGUACUGUGAGAGUUUCCUGUCAACAGUAUAGGUGAGUCUGUACUGUGAGAGUUUCCUGUCAACAGUAUAGUUGAGUCUGUACUGUGAGAGUUUCCUGUCAACAGUAUAGUUGAGUCUGUACUGUGAGAGUUUCCUGUCAACAGUAUAGUUGAGUCUGUACUGUGAGAGUUUCCUGUCAACAGUAUAGGUGAGUCUGUACUGUGAGAGUUUCC